rnacentral:rRNA from 1 species
CGGCGGACGGGUGAGUAAUGCUUAGGAAUCUGCCUAUUAGUGGGGGACAACAUUCCGAAAGGAAUGCUAAUACCGCAUACGUCCUACGGGAGAAAGCAGGGGACCUUCGGGCCUUGCGCUAAUAGAUGAGCCUAAGUCGGAUUAGCUAGUUGGUGGGGUAAAGGCCUACCAAGGCGACGAUCUGUAGCGGGUCUGAGAGGAUGAUCCGCCACACUGGGACUGAGACACGGCCCAGACUCCUACGGGAGGCAGCAGUGGGGAAUAUUGGACAAUGGGGGGAACCCUGAUCCAGCCAUGCCGCGUGUGUGAAGAAGGCCUUUUGGUUGUAAAGCACUUUAAGCGAGGAGGAGGCUACUAGUAUUAAUACUACUGGAUAGUGGACGUUACUCGCAGAAUAAGCACCGGCUAACUCUGUGCCAGCAGCCGCGGUAAUACAGAGGGUGCGAGCGUUAAUCGGAUUUACUGGGCGUAAAGCGUGUGUAGGCGGCUGAUUAAGUCGGAUGUGAAAUCCCUGAGCUUAACUUAGGAAUUGCAUUCGAUACUGGUCAGCUAGAGUAUGGGAGAGGAUGGUAGAAUUCCAGGUGUAGCGGUGAAAUGCGUAGAGAUCUGGAGGAAUACCGAUGGCGAAGGCAGCCAUCUGGCCUAAUACUGACGCUGAGGUACGAAAGCAUGGGGAGCAAACAGGAUUAGAUACCCUGGUAGUCCAUGCCGUANACGAUGUCUACUAGCCGUUGGGGCCUUUGAGGCUUUAGUGGCGCAGCUAACGCGAUAAGUAGACCGCCUGGGGAGUACGGUCGCAAG